rnacentral:rRNA from 1 species
UACAGAGGAUGCAAGCGUUAUCCGGAAUGAUUGGGCGUAAAGCGUCUGUAGGUGGCUUUUUAAGUCCGCCGUCAAAUCCCAGGGCUCAACUCUGGACAGGCGGUGGAAACUACCAAGCUCGAGUACGGUAGGGGCAGAGGGAAUUUCCGGUGGAGCGGUGAAAUGCGUAGAGAUCGGAAAGAACACCAACGGCGAAAGCACUCUGCUGGGCCGAUACUGACGCUGAGGUGCGAAAGCGUGGGGAGCAAACAGG